GAUGAACGCUGGCGGCGUGCCUAAUACAUGCAAGUCGAGCGAACGGACGAGAAGCUUGCUUUUCUGAUGUUAGCGGCGGACGGGUGAGUAACACGUGGAUAACCUACCUAUAAGACUGGGAUAACUUCGGGAAACCGGAGCUAAUACCGGAUAAUAUUUUGAACCGCAUGGUUCAAAAGUGAAAGACGGUCUUGCUGUCACUUAUAGAUGGAUCCGCGCUGCAUUAGCUAGUUGGUAAGGUAAUGGCUUACCAAGGCAACGAUGCAUAGCCGACCUGAGAGGGUGAUCGGCCACACUGGAACUGAGACACGGUCCAGACUCCUACGGGAGGCAGCAGUAGGGAAUCUUCCGCAAUGGGCGAAAGCCUGACGGAGCAACGCCGCGUGAGUGAUGAAGGUCUUCGGAUCGUAAAACUCUGUUAUUAGGGAAGAACAUAUGUGUAAGUAACUGUGCACAUCUUGACGGUACCUAAUCAGAAAGCUACGGCUAACUACGUG
rnacentral:rRNA from 1 species